UACGUAGGGCGCAAGCGUUGUCCGGAAUUAUUGGGCGUAAAGAGCUCGUAGGCGGUUUGUCGCGUCUGCUGUGAAAGUUCGGGGCUCAACCCCAGAACUGCAGUGGGUACGGGCAGACUAGAGUGCGGUAGAGGAGGCUGGAAUUCCUGGUGUAGCGGUGGAAUGCGCAGAGAUCAGGAGGAACACCAGUGGCGAAGGCGGGUCUCUGGGCCGCAACUGACGCUGAGGAGCGAAAGCGUGGGGAGCGAACAGG
rnacentral:rRNA from 1 species